AGGCCGUGGUAUGGCAUGGGCGCAGCCUGAUCCAGCAUGCCGCGUGUGUGAAGAAGGUCUUCGGAUUGUAAAGCACUUUUGGCAGGGACGAUGAUGACGGUACCUGCAGAAUAAGCCCCGGCUAACUUCGUGCCAGCAGCCGCGGUAAUAAUCGUGCCAGCAGCCGCGGUAAUUACAGCGUUUUUUUUUCCUUCCCCGCCCGGGGAAAGAAAAAUAAAUU
rnacentral:rRNA from 1 species